GCCAGGUGUGGUGGCUCACACCUGUAAUCCCAGCACUUUGGGAGGCUGAGGUGGGUGGAUCACCUGAGGUCAGGAGUUCCCAACCAGCCUGGCCAACAUGGUGAAACCCCAUCUCUA
rnacentral:SRP_RNA from 1 species